rnacentral:rRNA from 1 species
CGAACGGGUGAGUAACGCGUUGGUGACCUGCCCCGAAGCGGGGGAUACCAGUUCGAAAGGACUGCUAAUACCCCAUGUGGUUAUAUUAGGUAAAGGAGCGCUUUGGGAGGGGCCUGCGUCCCAUCAGCUAGUUGGUAAGGUAAUGGCCUACCAAGGCAUCGACGGGUAGGGGACCUGAGAGGGUGGCCCCCCACAAUGGAACUGAAACACGGUCCAUACACCUACGGGUGGCAGCAGCAGGGAAUAUUGGUAAUCUGCGAAAGCGGGAACCAGCAACGCCGCGUGUGCGAUGAAGGCCUUCGGGUCGUAAAGCACUUUUCGAGGGGAUGAGGGACAGUACCCUCGGAAUAAGUCUCGGCUAACUACGUGCCAGCAGCCGCGGUAAAACGUAGGAGGCGAGCGUUAUCCGGAUUUACUGGGCGUAAAGCGCGUGCAGGCGGUUCGGUAAGUUGGAUGUGAAAGCUCCGGGCUCAACUGGGAGAGGUCGUUCAAUAC